UACGUAGGGUGCAAGCGUUGUUCGGAAUUACUGGGCGUAAAGCGCACGUAGGCGGAUCAGUCAGUCAGGGGUGAAAUCCCGGGGCUCAACCCCGGAACUGCCUUUGAAACUGCUGGUCUGGAGGUCGAGAGAGGCGAGUGGAAUUCCGAGUGUAGAGGUGAAAUUCGUAGAUAUUCGGAGGAACACCAGUGGCGAAGGCGGCUCGCUGGCUCGAUACUGACGCUGAGGUGCGAAAGCGUGGGGAGCGAACAGG
rnacentral:rRNA from 1 species